AACGCACAUUGCGCUCUUGGGUAUUCCUGAGAGCAUGCCUGUUUCAGAAUCGGAAAUCCCACUCUGCUCCCAAAUCUUUUUUUUGGAUGAGCGGGAGAUUGAGUCCUUCCAAAAGAAUCUUUUGGUUUUUUUGGAUGACUUGAAAUGGAGAUGGAGAGGACUGGGACAUUGUUUUCCCUCCUUGUUUCACAUCCAACGAAAAUGCGCGAUAAGAAGUUUACACUUCGAUACUCCGCUAUUUUUAGGAUGAGGAGCAUGGGACUACAUUUCUCGUUCUUUUUUCCAUGCAAAAAUCCGAACACCUUCUCACUUUUGUGAGGAGCCCCAAGGGAGAGAGAUAUUCUUUCUCCUUGAAUUGAUCUGAAAUCAGGCAAGACUACCCGCUGAACUUAA
rnacentral:misc_RNA from 2 species